GAUGAAGAACGCAGCGAAAUGCGAUAAGUAAUGUGAAUUGCUGAAUUCAGUGAAUCAUCGAAUCUUUGAACGCACAUUGCGCCCGCCAGUAUUCUGGCGGGCAUGCCUGUCUGAGCGUCAUUUCAACCCUCAAGCAACUUCUGCUUGGUGUUGGGGAUCGGCCGUCAAACGCCGCCCCCGAAAUCUAUUGGCGAUCUCGCUGUAGCUUCCUAUGCGUAGUAGUAACAUCUCGCAUCUGGAGAGCGGCGCGGUCAUGCCGUAAAACACCCAACUUCUCAGGUUGACCUCAGAUCAGGUAGGAAUACCCGCUGAACUUAAGCAUAUCAAUAAGCGGAGGA
rnacentral:misc_RNA from 1 species